UUAAACGACUACUUAGACGUUAUACGCUCUAAUAGUCAGGAACAAAUGGUAUUGGGUAGGUCUUUUACAAAAUUCUUUGCCAUGUUAUAGUGAAUUUCGGACCUUUAAACGUUUACUUUGUAAUACGUUACGCGUAGGCGUACUCACGUGUGUAGCACUCACGUGUGGCGUUGUUGAAAUUGGGGUGAUCCAAUAAUGUACUCGCCACCAGUGCGUCUACCAGGACUUCUUUUUGUUACCCUUUCUCCGUUCCCUGCUGUCAGUUUGCUUGACUGCGUCGAUGCAUUGUCGUCGUAUUUUUCCUUUUGACGCGGCAAGAGACGAACGGCCCAUACACCAAACUGAAACAAAUAUCGCCAAUGACCUGCCCGAAACAGGAUCAAGCAUUGCGCGAUUGACCAGAAGGAAUCAUAUACUCAGCAAACAUCAACGCUGCUUUCGGAUUGUCAUAUUGACAUAAUGGUGACAAAAUUGAGUGUUAGAGUGCAAGGAACGCCCAGUAUCUUGGCUUGUGAUGGUCACAACAGCUGGUUGUGCUUGCCGCCAUUCCGUCAAAGAAGCACCGGGACGCCAUUCCGAUUUCGACCACAUCUGACGUCGCUUACGGGUCCAACGUUACUGUUGUUAUUGGCGUAUGUGGAAAUCUAUUUAUUUUGACACUCAUUAUCAGAAACUAUCAGGAAAAGGAAGAUCCACCAUCUUCGAUCAUACAUCGCGUAUUGGGGAUUUUAUCAUACCUCCACUUCAAUUUCGAAGAACAUUCAACCAACUUUAAGAUCCUCGAAGCAACCGCAGAUGAAUUUCUACAAGCCUAUCGCCUGUAAGUAUCGGCCGCCAAGUGUUGGGUUUCGUCUGGAACACGACCGGGAAGAUCGGCCUCUCGUCGUUAGACUGAUUGUCACUAAGGAUAUUGCUCGUUC